UACGAAGGGGGCUAGCGUUGCUCGGAAUCACUGGGCGUAAAGGGUGCGUAGGUGGGUCUUUAAGUCAGGGGUGAAAUCCUGGAGCUCAACUCCAGAACUGCCUUUGAUACUGGAGAUCUUGAGUUCGGGAGAGGUGAGUGGAACUGCGAGUGUAGAGGUGAAAUUCGUAGAUAUUCGCAAGAACACCAGUGGCGAAGGCGGCUCACUGGCCCGAUACUGACGCUGAGGCACGAAAGCGUGGGGAGCAAACAGG
rnacentral:rRNA from 1 species